GGAGAGAUGGCCGAGUAGGCUGAAGGCGGUCGCCUGCUAAGCGACUGUACGGGUAUAAAGCCUGUACCGAGGGUUCGAAUCCCUCUCUCUCCG
rnacentral:tRNA from 1 species